rnacentral:lncRNA from 1 species
UGGCGCCUCAGCGCUCUCUGGCGCCUCAGCGCUCUCUGGCGCGCGCCGCCUUCCUCGCUGAACGCCAACAGUGGUCUUCCUCAGAUGCUCGAUUUGACUGGUAUGAGGUACAAAACAGUCAGGAAAGUGAAAUCAUGAGACUAUUACUGAUGUAAAUGGCAGAUCCACCUCAAGAAGGAGAUAUUUAAGAAGCUGUCAGAGACAGAUAUGCCACUUCUGGAUCUACUGAAGUCUGAGUCACGCCUGAGAAACACAGAUGCAGGAGAAAUCUUCUAACAUAUUCAGAAUUGAUGUCUAAUCCCCCAUAAAAUACAUAGUUUCCAACAUAAAAAUCAGUGAUGCAAACCCACUUCACACGCAGCACCCACCUGCACUGCACCGCACGACGCUGUGACAACACAAACACAAAGCUGAUGCUGAUUGCUCAACAGUGAGGGAUACCUGCCCAGGAGCUGCCAGCACCGUGGAGCUGGCAGAGUCUCACUCUGUCACCCAGGCUGGAGUACAUGGAAUACAGUGGUGCGAUCUCAGCUCACUGCAACAUCCGCCUUCCAGAUUCAAGUGAUUCUCCCAAGUAGCUGGAACUACAGGCACCUGCCACCACGCCCGGCUAGUUUAGUAGAGACAAAUUUUCGCCAUGUUGGCCGGGCUGGUCUCAAACUCCUGACCUCAAGUGAUCUGCCCGCCUCGCCCUCCCAAAUUGCUGAGAUUACAGGUGUGAGCCACUGGACCUGGCCCCAAAAUGAAAAUCUUCAUAGUAAACAUAAAACAAAUAAGCUACCCAUUAACUAAUAUAAGUAAUCAUAUUUUAAAGGAAACUAAUAAAAUCACAUCAAUAGAGUAUAACACUUGUAUAAACAUUGGGAAUAAUUGUUUUAAUAUCAAAGGGAAUUCUUUAGUGUUUAAGAUAAUUUCUCUAUAAAGGCAUUAAUGUUCAAAUGUCUUCUAAGAAUAUUAGAAAUUUUGUAAAAAGUGCUUUGUAAAGUUUAUUCGAACACUGCAUUUUUUUUUUUAUCCUGAGUUUGUUCUUUGUUGAAUGUAUCUUAAAGUUUCUUGGUACUAGUGUAUUUAAGCUUUAAUACAUACAUGUAUAGGUAUAUAUUUUAAGUGCUUUAUAAUCUAAAGUUCUUUCAGGCACCUGCCAGUGUUCAUUUUUUAAAUGGAAAUUUUUGCCUCGUUAAAAAUCAAUAUUUCAAACAUUCCAGUUUUUUGGGUGGUGACUGGGUGUGGGGCUCCUUUGAGGGACUGUGAGGGUCUGGACUGUAGCGGAAGUUAUGGGUAGUGAAAGGGCUGCAAGAACAAAUUUGCUGUCCCAAAUUUUGUGAUUCAUUUUGAGUUAAUGUUUUUGGGAAGGGUAUAACGUCUGUCUCUAGAUUCACAUUUUUUGCAUGUGGAUAUCUUGUUUUUUCAGCACUGUUUUUUUUUUUUUUUAAUGAACUAUCCCCUUUCCAUUGCACUACUUUUGUUCCUUUGUCAAAAACCACUUGAGUAUAUAUGGGUCUCUUUCUGGGCUCUCUAAUCUGUUCUACUGACUGAUGUGGUCGUUCUUUCUCCAGUACCACACUGUCUUGAUUAUUGCAGCUUUAUACUAAUUCUUGAAGUCAGUUAGCAUUGUUAGUACUGCUGUAAGUAUGUGUCAAUCUUGGGUGAAUACUGUCCCAAUCCUGCUACAACUCCUCUGUCUCUCUCUGCCUGUGUAAAUGAAAUCUUAACUUUUCUCUUUCAGAACAUGACUCCAUUCCUCUGGG